rnacentral:rRNA from 48 species
AGAGUUUGAUCAUGGCUCAGAUUGAACGCUGGCGGCAGGCCUAACACAUGCAAGUCGAACGGUAACAGGAAGCAGCUUGCUGUUUUGCUGACGAGUGGCGGACGGGUGAGUAAUGUCUGGGAAACUGCCUGAUGGAGGGGGAUAACUACUGGAAACGGUAGCUAAUACCGCAUAACGUCGCAAGACCAAAGAGGGGGACCUUAGGGCCUCUUGCCAUCGGAUGUGCCCAGAUGGGAUUAGCUAGUAGGUGGGGUAACGGCUCACCUAGGCGACGAUCCCUAGCUGGUCUGAGAGGAUGACCAGCCACACUGGAACUGAGACACGGUCCAGACUCCUACGGGAGGCAGCAGUGGGGAAUAUUGCACAAUGGGCGCAAGCCUGAUGCAGCCAUGCCGCGUGUAUGAAGAAGGCCUUCGGGUUGUAAAGUACUUUCAGCGGGGAGGAAGGGAGUAAAGUUAAUACCUUUGCUCAUUGACGUUACCCGCAGAAGAAGCACCGGCUAACUCCGUGCCAGCAGCCGCGGUAAUACGGAGGGUGCAAGCGUUAAUCGGAAUUACUGGGCGUAAAGCGCACGCAGGCGGUUUGUUAAGUCAGAUGUGAAAUCCCCGGGCUCAACCUGGGAACUGCAUCUGAUACUGGCAAGCUUGAGUCUCGUAGAGGGGGGUAGAAUUCCAGGUGUAGCGGUGAAAUGCGUAGAGAUCUGGAGGAAUACCGGUGGCGAAGGCGGCCCCCUGGACGAAGACUGACGCUCAGGUGCGAAAGCGUGGGGAGCAAACAGGAUUAGAUACCCUGGUAGUCCACGCCGUAAACGAUGUCGACUUGGAGGUUGUGCCCUUGAGGCGUGGCUUCCGGAGCUAACGCGUUAAGUCGACCGCCUGGGGAGUACGGCCGCAAGGUUAAAACUCAAAUGAAUUGACGGGGGCCCGCACAAGCGGUGGAGCAUGUGGUUUAAUUCGAUGCAACGCGAAGAACCUUACCUGGUCUUGACAUCCACGGAAGUUUUCAGAGAUGAGAAUGUGCCUUCGGGAACCGUGAGACAGGUGCUGCAUGGCUGUCGUCAGCUCGUGUUGUGAAAUGUUGGGUUAAGUCCCGCAACGAGCGCAACCCUUAUCCUUUGUUGCCAGCGGUCCGGCCGGGAACUCAAAGGAGACUGCCAGUGAUAAACUGGAGGAAGGUGGGGAUGACGUCAAGUCAUCAUGGCCCUUACGACCAGGGCUACACACGUGCUACAAUGGCGCAUACAAAGAGAAGCGACCUCGCGAGAGCAAGCGGACCUCAUAAAGUGCGUCGUAGUCCGGAUUGGAGUCUGCAACUCGACUCCAUGAAGUCGGAAUCGCUAGUAAUCGUGGAUCAGAAUGCCACGGUGAAUACGUUCCCGGGCCUUGUACACACCGCCCGUCACACCAUGGGAGUGGGUUGCAAAAGAAGUAGGUAGCUUAACCUUCGGGAGGGCGCUUACCACUUUGUGAUUCAUGACUGGGGUGAAGUCGUAACAAGGUAACCGUAGGGGAACCUGCGGUUGGAUCACCU